rnacentral:rRNA from 1 species
UACGGAGGGAGCUAGCGUUGUUCGGAAUUACUGGGCGUAAAGCGCACGUAGGCGGCUUUGUAAGUUAGAGGUGAAAGCCUGGAGCUCAACUCCAGAACUGCCUUUAAAACUGCAUCGCUUGAAUCCAGGAGAGGUGAGUGGAAUUCCGAGUGUAGAGGUGAAAUUCGUAGAUAUUCGGAGGAACACCAGUGGCGAAGGCGGCUCACUGGUCCGGUACUGACGCUGAGGUGCGAAAGCGUGGGGAGCAAACAGG